GGUGCCAUUGUAAUGCUCAAAUUAUAUCACUUUAAAUUUUUUCUGAAAGGACACCUUCAGGAUCUUGCUCAUAAAGGGGGGAUCAUGGAUUGCCUCCAAAUCAUCUUCCAUACCAACCCUUUGCCCUCAUAGGAUCUUGAUAUAGCAGUGCAUCUCCUCAAUCUCGUGGUGGAGGUUAGCCUUCCAGCUAGAGAUUUCCUUUGGCCAUGUGGAGGAGAGUUACCAGAGCCGGAGUUUAUGUCUGAGGAAGAGCGAUCACACUCCCAACCCCUGUUUGGGGCUCUAAGGAUAACGAUGGCU
rnacentral:lncRNA from 1 species